UUAUUAGAAAAAAAGGAACGCUCUGUCUUUGCUGAAAUGCCCAUAAUGGAGCACAACAGCUCAGAGUAUCUCUUUGGAGGAGAUUACAAUUUGCAAGCAUUUUCUUUCUGAAAAAUUAAAACUUCCAUUUUUUGGGGGUUGUUUUUCCGAAAUAUCAAAGGAAAGAUAAAGCCAUGUACACUUUCAUGCAAUAUUUCAUUUUUAAUUCUCAUGAAGUCUCGUUUUUAAAUAUCAGACAAUACAUCUUUUCUAAAUCAAAGAAUCUUCUGGGUGUUAUAAGAAAACUCUUUAAAAACCCCAAAACUAAACAGAUAAAAGGUUUCCACUUUACUCCAGAAAAGAGUUUUUAAGUCUCUCUAUUUUGGGAUCUAAGUUCUGGUAUGAUUUAGUAACAUCUCCUUGCCAUGCUGGUAUUGAAAGGUCAUAAUUUACCUAUUUAGUUUACUACAAUUACACAAGAAACUUUGUAGCAUCCUGAUUUUUAAAUUUAGUCUAUUUCGUUUCAGAUGGAGAAAAUUCAACAACUGAAUGGCAAAAAACCCAUUUAUUUAAAACCUUCUCUGGUUUAGUGCCCCAGGAUCUUCUCUGGGAUAUUUCCCACCUUCAUUUCUAUUGCACAGAUCCAUAUCUACAGCCUGCAAUCCAAAGGGCGAGUGGCACAGGCCCCCCAGAGUGCAGAUUUGACCCAGCUGGUUCAUCACAAAGUCAGCACUGAGUUUUGUGUGGCUCAGCCCUGCCUGGCAAGCCCCAGCCCAGCUGCUUGCCCCUGUUUACGAUAAAAGGCAACCCCACGGGAGCCAGCCUCACCCACGGAAACACCCGUGCUCACAGAAGUCACCGUCUUUCUGACUCUGCCUGGGGUUUUCUGUCACUUGUUUUCAGUCCCCACAGUGCCAGGACAAUUGUUCCACUGCCCAGCUGUGCCCCAGAGUCACAGCCGGGGGAUGCUCUGAUUCUCGGCAGAGUUUACAGAACCUUCCUCCACCCAAGUCCACCUCCUUGCCACUACACCCCUUCCCACUGCAGAAACCUUUCCGGCUCAUCUCCACUUCUGCAAAUUUCAGACCGAUAGCCACAAGAUGCAGUGAGGUCAAAAAGAGACAGACCACCGAGAAGCAUUCAGCAACUCCCAAAGCUACAGAUGCAGCAAGGGCUCCUGUGCCAGCUACAGAAGGACAGAGCCAAAUGUGUAGAGGCAGGCAAGCACACGACUACUGAAAAGCUGAGUCUGCAGCUCCCAGAAUAAAGCUGUCACUUGAGCCAGCAGGUGCCUCCGUCCCCGCCUCCGACCUACAACAGUUAUGACACGAGAUUAAGAAAAACAGCCACCCCUGGCAGCCAGGCUGGCGCGUAAUGAACAGUUUAACCCUGGAUAAACCUAAUGACAAGUGUGGGUGGCUUUGAUUGAAAUGACAAGGCAGUUUGUCACCCGUUGCUCUGUCACAGAGAUCAGCAGUGCUAGCAUUUUCUGCUGAGUUGAGGGGAAAGCAGCCCGACACUUGCGCAUUUCAGAAGGAGCGCACAGAAACAUUGAAAACAAAAGGAGUCACGGUCUCGGUGUUGAAGCACCUCUGUGACCCUAAACAAGUCAGCAGUGGAAGAGACACAGUCUCUAAGAUGCUCUUGUGAGAAAACACCACUGUCUCUGGAGAUGGACAGAAAAUUUUAAACAAAAAACCCAAACCAAACCCACAAAGCUCUCUUACUUUAAAUCACCCAGAGGCUUUUGACAGAGGUACUCAGCUAUCCAGUUGACCUCCACGUGAAACUCCCAAUAGCAACCUGCUUUGCUAUAAGGGUUGUGUUUCUCACUGAUGAAUGUUCAGUGCCCAUAAAAUGAUAACAGCAGAACUUGAUUGCCAUUGUAAAUCAUUAAAUAGUCUUGAGACCCAGCUAUCAAUCACUGCAGUUUUAGAUGAUGCUGUUUAUGGCGUUACCCGUGCACCUGCUUCAAUGUAGCAGCUGUCCUCAAAAGGCUGCAUGUACCUCAGACCUGCAAAGACUUGUGUUUCUGGUUAAUCCUAGCUUCAAUUAGUGCAUUAAUUAAUACACUGUACGAGGUGCAACACAAUCAGAACCCAAGUAAACAAGCAACAAAGGGGUACAGGCACAGAAACGGGCAAUGGCCAUUUGACAUUCAUGUGGCAGAUGAGCGACAGCCCUGGAUCCAGAAGCACCACAAAUGGGAAAGCCAUGUGACAGUAUCAUGCGAUGACCAGCAAUGUGAGAGGCACCAUGGUUUUCCUGUACAAGAGUAAAAUUAACAUCACAACCUCAGACCCCACGACAUUAUUGAACUUACUCCCUGCAUGAGUUUGAAGACUGUGGCCUUACCAUGCUUUCAUUUUCUACACCCACACACGGCUUUCCUGAAAGCCCCUCUGAUUCUGGUCCUCAGCUUAAGGCAGGUCUAAAGGGGAAGAAUUCAAAACAUCUUCAGCCUCUGUAUCUGGAGAAAAUUUAUGGUAGCUCCUCUGCCACCCACUCUCCCCAUUCCUUUUCAACACCUUGGAAAACCCCUGCUAUUUUAAAUUUACAUACCUUUCCAGUUACAGAUACCAACAUUUUGAGGCAGUCAAAUGUUCAUCAUCCUACUGCCUUGCUAAGAUCAGUAGCAGCCCACCUGAGGGUUGCCUAGCCAGCAGUAAUCCCAGGACAGACAUCUGGGUUGAUGCAGACACACUGUCCAGUCUCACAGCAAUCCCCUGGGAACUCAAGACCUUAUUCCUGAUUUUCAUAUGCAUUUUGCUUGGAAACAACAACAACAAAAAAGUAUUUCUUUAUAAAAAUGUUGCUAGAAAUAAGAAACAAAUCAUGAAGGUCGAUGGAUGCACUUUCUCCACUGAAACUUCCUAUUUAAUGCAGCAGUUGUAGUAUUGCCUUUUCAAGGGAAAAACAGACUCAAAGCAAGAUUUCCCUUCUGGCCAUAACACCCUUCUGUCAGUUUACUACAGAACAACACAUCCAUGAAAUGCACCUGCAUGCUUGAACAAAGUGCUGCUGAAAUUACCUUACUUACAUAAAAGCCCAAAGUGAUGACAUUGUUCAACUUUGCAUCAUGGAGAGAAAAACAAAGAGGAAAAGAGAGUGAGAGGACUCCACAUAAUUCCGGUAAGACUUUCUUUCCUGGAGUUGGCUUCACAUGGCUGGAUGGGAAACAACAUAAAUGGCAACAACACACAGUGGAUAAACACAGAAAUUAUUUCUGCUCCCAAAGACUUGAUAUGGGGUUUCCUGACUGAAGCUUGCUGAUAUGCAACUAAAGAAACAACCAAAUGUUGUAGUACUUUUAUGGCUACGCUAUACAAUACGAUAUGCAUCACAAUUUUUCCUUGCAAAGGUUUAAAAUUCUGCUGUAUUAAUAGUGAGCUGCAAGAUCCCAGCUCAGGAAUCCAGUUUAUAUAUAUAUUUUAAAGGAGCCAUUCAAAACUUCAGUUAUUUCUGAGUGACAAAAUGAACAUUUGAUAAUUAGGAAUGCAUGGUAUCGACCAUCAGGAAGCUUAUCUCCCUGACUGAAAUGAUGUUUGCCGAGAGUGUUUAAAAAGUGACAUUGUCAGACUAUACCAAACUCUUGCUUUAGAUUGAUCUGAAGUAAAAUACUGGAUGUUCGGUCUUAGUUUGAGCUGAAUUUCUAUAUGAACUAAUUCAAAAUAAGUGUUUUGAAAACAAAGUACCCAAUUAGUUUGGGCCCUGCUCCAAAACCCACAUGCCCACGCAAAGAGCCUCGAUUUGCUCCCACCCAUCCAGUGGUCACCAACUGGAGAUUUUUCUGUUCUGUUUCCCCUAAGCCUCAGUUUGCUUUGUGAGGAGAUGUACACCAUGGGGAAUUGGAAUGAAUUUACAACACACACUGGUGCUUUUAUUAUUUGGGAAGCACUUUAUAAAUACUUGGCUCCGUUUAUUUCAAGUUUGGCUAUCAUGCAGAUGACAGCAACACUCUAAGUGAAAUGAAUGCAAAACACCCAUGCUCUUGGCUGGAACAAACUCAGUAUGAAAUUUGGAUGAACAACCAGAAAAAGGGG